AUUGGGUCUUCUGGAGCUGGAGUCCCAGAUGGUUGUAAGCCACCUUACCUGGGUGGGUGCCUUGCAUAGAACUUGCAUCCUCUAUCUAGCUGAGCUCUCUGUGGCUCUGUAUUUGCAGUUUUUCUUUCACCGAACACACAAGCAUAUGUACAGAGUGCUCAGGGUACUCCAUCAGCACUCACAAGCUGUCACAGAGGAGUUUCUCAUGUAUGCUUACUCAGCCGCACACACAGCAAUGCUAUGUAUUCAAAGGGUGAGGUACUUUUUUUUGUUUGUUUUCUUUUUUGAGACAGGGUCUUACUCUGUAGCCAUGUCUGACCUCUGGGGCUUGCAAUAUAGACCAGGCUGUCCUUGAACUCAGAGAUCCAUCUGCCUCUCCCACCCUGGUGCUGGGAAUAAAGGCAUGUGCUACCACACCCAAUGGUUUUGACUUUUUGAAUCUCAUAAAUUACCCUGGAACAGCUUCAUCUCCACUCAUACUGAUGGUGUAAAAGCAGUGGCAGGGAACCACUAGGAGUUCAAGCGGUAGCACCAACCUGCCCGGCCAGGGCGGUCCUUUCAGCUCCAUGGUUUCCACAGGAAGAAAAAUCAUCCGCAUAUGAGAGUGCCCUGGAUGAAGAGCUGACAACUAGUGAUUUUUCAUUCUUAGAGUCUUUAAUAAAGGUCCCUUUGCUGGGUAUGGUGGCAUGUUCCUUUAAUCUCAGCACCCAAGAAGCAGAACCAUCAACUUUAAUAUCAGCACUCAGGAGGCAGAGGCAGGUAGAUCUCGGAGUUUGAGGCCAGCCUGGAUUAAGCUGCAGAGUAAGUUCCAGGGCCGUCAGCUCACUCCCAGCUGUAGUGCAGCUCCAGCUUCUAGGGAUCCAACGUGUCUGGCCUUGUCUGGCACCUGCACUCAUAUACAUAGACAGACAUAUAAUUAAAUGAUUUUUAAAAAAAUUUUUAAAGCGCAUAUAUUCCAGUGGAUAAAUACAAAACAUUGAAUACAGAUGUGUGUGUGUGUAUUAGCUGGCUAUGGUAGUGCUUCCCUACGAUCCUAGCCUUUGGGUGGUUAAGCAACAGGAUUGCCAUGGAGGCCAGGCUAGCAAGACCAUGCCUCCAAAAUAAUAUUUUGAGGGUAUAUCUAUAGGGUAGAAUAUAUUUUAGCGCAUAUAUAUUAUAUAAUCUGCUCAGGAUAUUUUUGAGUCAACUCAAACUUAGAAAGACCUUGUCUGAAAAACAAGCAGUAAUAAUAAUGUCUCCUUUAUUCUUGGUGAUUAAAUGCAAAGUAUCCAUAAAGCAUUACUGUUGUAUGUUGUCUUGUGAUAGAAAGGCACAUGUGGAUGGAGCUAGACCACCAGCUACAUGGGUCAUUUGAACUUGAAAUAAUGACUGAUAUACAAACUGGUUAUCCAUUCUUGAAAAUUUAGUGGAAGUUUUUUUUUGUUGUUGUUGUUUUUGUUUUGUUUUUUUAGAAAUGAACAAAGUGGACUUGUCAAGUUUUCAAGCAGAAGUUAAAUUUGGGGUGCUAGGUUCCCUGACUUGCUUCCGUGCACACUGUGUUAUCAGUGGAUGCAGUGGGUCUGCAUUUGUGGGAGACAAAUUUGUGUCCCUUCCCACUUGCUGAAAAGGGCAAUGCCUUAUUAAUUGUUUGAUCUAUCUACAUUUAUACUGUUGUCCCUGCAGCAGCAGCCUAGGCUAGCCCAGCCAAGACUGAGGCCAAUCAGAGGAGUCAAAUGAGGACAUGGGACUUUGGUGUCUUUUUUUUUUUUUUGGUUUUUUGAGACAGGGUUUCUCUGUGUAGCCCUGGCUGUCCUGGAACUCACUCUGUAGACCAGGCUGGCCUCAAACUCAGAAAUCCGCCUGCCUCUGCCUCCCAAGUGCUGGGAUUAAAGGUGUGCACCACCACUGCGGGCUGAUUUUUUUUUUUUUUAAAAGACUUUGGUGUCUUUAACAAAUCCCUCCAAAGUGAGCUUAAUUUGACAAACAUGGAAAUAAAAGCUUACUUCUUUGAAAAAAAAAAGUGGGGGUGCUGCAGAGAUGCUCAGUAGUUAGAGCACUUGCUGCUCUUCCUGAGGGCUCCAGUUGGGACCCUGGCACCCAUAUUGGACACCUCACAGUUCCAGGGGCUCCUUGUCCUCUGAGGGUCCCUACAUGCUCUGACAUGUUUUCACACAGAUACACACUUACACAUAAAUGAAAAUGUACUUUUGAUUUUUUUUUUUUUUUUUUUUAAGAAAAAAGUUUCUUGAAGCAGGGUUUCUCUGUGUAGUCCUGGCUGUUCAGUCUGUACACCAGGCUGACCUUGAACUCACAGAUUCACCUACCUUUGCCUCCCUAGUCCUGGGAUGAAAGGUGUGGGGCACUACAUCCUGGCUAUAGGUAAAUCUUAAAAAAAAAAAAAAAAAAAAGGCAAAUCUUUUAAGAAGG
rnacentral:lncRNA from 1 species